AUUGUUUAGAAGCAGUAAAUAGCUUUGUUAGUGUUUCCAUGGUCAAGAUGUAUCACAAUCCAAAGCCUUUAACUAAUUAUAAGAGUUACAGAUGGAUUAGGAGUGUUUAGACAACACUUAUACCCAUUUUCUCCUAAAACAGACCAAAACCAACAAAAAAUUGCUUAAAAGCACUAACCAGUUUUGUUAGUGUUUCUAUGGUCAAAAUGUGUCACAAUCUAAAGCCUUUAACUAAUUAUAAGAGUUAGGGAUGGAUU
rnacentral:sRNA from 1 species